rnacentral:lncRNA from 1 species
GUCGUGCAGCCCUUCUUCUCUUGGCCUAAUGCUUUCGGUCGAGACUAGGUGCUGAUAACGUGUUAGAAUGAAUCCUCUUCCUCUUUCAUUAGAUGAAUAUGGAUAUAUACACAAGGAGAAGAGAUGCAAUGAAGAGGCAUCUAUUCGGGAGAGAUGGCAGUUACAAGGGGAGAUUACCCCAUAAUUAACACAUGUUAAUUAAACUCUAAC